CACCCGGUCGCACACGGUGUGCACCUGCCCCACUUUGAUGUCGAGAUUGUAAGUGAGUAAGUCUCAAGCAGGAGACCCCCGUUCGACUCGGGGUCGGGUGA